rnacentral:rRNA from 1 species
GAUGAACGCUGGCGGCGUGCCUAAUACAUGCAAGUAGAACGCUGAAGCUUGGUGCUUGCACCGAGCGGAUGAGUUGCGAACGGGUGAGUAACGCGUAGGUAACCUGCCUCUUAGCGGGGGAUAACUAUUGGAAACGAUAGCUAAUACCGCAUAAAAGUCGAUAUCGCAUGAUAUUGAUUUGAAAGGUGCAAAUGCAUCACUAAGAGAUGGACCUGCGUUGUAUUAGCUAGUUGGUGAGGUAACGGCUCACCAAGGCGACGAUACAUAGCCGACCUGAGAGGGUGAUCGGCCACACUGGGACUGAGACACGGCCCAGACUCCUACGGGAGGCAGCAGUAGGGAAUCUUCGGCAAUGGGGGCAACCCUGACCGAGCAACGCCGCGUGAGUGAAGAAGGUUUUCGGAUCGUAAGCUCUGUUGUAAGAGAAGAACGAGUGUGAGAGUGGAAAGUUCACACUGUGACGGUAACUUACCAGAAAGGGACGGCUAACUAC